rnacentral:rRNA from 1 species
GGACUACAGGGGUAUCUAAUCCUGUUUGCUCCCCACGCUUUCGCGUCUCAGCGUCAGUGAUCGUCCAGAUGGCCGCCUUCGCCACUGGUGUUCUUCCCGAUAUCUACGAAUUUCACCUCUACACCGGGAGUUCCGCCAUCCUCUCCGACACUCAAGCCAAGUAGUUUCGGGCGCACUUCCUGGGUUAAGCCCAGGGCUUUCACACCCGACAUGCUUGGCCGCCUACACGCGCUUUACGCCCAAUAAUUCCGAACAACGCUUGCACCCUCUGUAUUACCGCGGCUGCUGGCAC